UACGUAGGGGGGCUAGCGUUGUCCGGAAUCAUUGGGCGUAAAGAGCGUGUAGGCGGCCCGGUAAGUCCGCUGUGAAAGUCGGGGGGCUCAACCCUCGAAUGCCGGUGGAUACUGUCGGGCUAGAGUGCGGAAGAGGCGAGUGGAAUUCCUGGUGUAGCGGUGAAAUGCGCAGAUAUCAGGAGGAACACCGAUUGCGAAGGCAGCUCGCUGGGACGUCACUGACGCUGAGACGCGAAAGCGUGGGGAGCAAACAGG
rnacentral:rRNA from 1 species